GGGAGAACGAUUGGGGAAAGCAACAGCAGCCCGUGAAGUAUUUGGCAAACAGCUCCUUUUGUGUUGCGCAAGCCAAAUCCCAAUGACACCCAUGCUCCUACAACCCCUUGAAUUGCACGUCGGCAGCACAGGACGCGAGGAUACGUCUCCAGCAAGGAUGGAAAUAUCUGAGCUGCAGCCCUGGGCAUGGCCAAGGUGGGGUCGAUGGUGCUGCCGUUCGCCAGGGCUGCCAGCUGGUUCCCCGUGUAAAUCUAUUUUCGUUUGCUUGCCACUUGGUGAAACUUUAACCUUUGGGGCCCGGACAUCGCCUCCCUGCUGGCUUCCAGCACCAGGACUGGCAGCAGCUGGUGCAACUGGAAGGAGUCCGGAGGCCCAGUGCCAUGCCCAGCAGAUCCACGAUGCUCUCCAGCCCCAGGGGCUGCCGAGAUUAGGGUUUUAGGGGGGAUCCUCAGGCAGUGUCAAACGAAAUGCAGCAGGCGUGGGAAGCACAAGGAGCUGCAAGGGCAUGUGCUAGUGGAAAACACCAGGCUCGGGGCUCGGUGUCCGCACCUGGGCUGGUAAAUCCCUGGGGGAUGUUGGGGAAGGGAGCAGGGGUCUCCAGCUUGUACCCGCACAGCCCUGGGGGGCUCUCUGCACCCCCACUGCGCCCCUAGCACCAAACCAGGCCUUGGCAGGUGCGGGGAAGGUGAUGCUGGUCCCUGACGCCAUGGUGUUGGAGCAUCCCUGAAUCGUGGCUGGGAGGACAUCGAGAUCUCCCCUUCCCAAAAACUGUGCCCUGGAGCAGCGGGAUGAGGCGAGGGAAGCCCCUUGCCGUGCUCCCACAUUUAUUGGCACCCCCAGGGGAGGGGAGAGCACGGCGAGGGCAGGGCAAGCAACACAGAG